GACGGAGGGUGCGAGCGUUAUUCGGAAUCAUUGGGCGUAAAGAGCGUGUAGGCGGCCGGUUAAGUCAGGUGUGAAAGCCCGGGGCUCAACCUCGGAAGUGCACUUGAAACUGGUCGGCUUGAGUUCGGGAGAGGGAAGCGGAAUUCCUGGUGUAGAGGUGAAAUUCGUAGAUAUCAGGAGGAACACCGGUGGCGAAGGCGGCUUCCUGGACCGAAACUGACGCUGAGACGCGAAAGCGUGGGGAGUAAACAGG
rnacentral:rRNA from 1 species